GGGCCUAUAGUCUAGUGGUACGACGCUACAUUCGCAUUGUAGAGGCGCGAGUUCGAUUCUCGCUAGGUCCACCA
rnacentral:tRNA from 2 species